rnacentral:lncRNA from 1 species
UGGGAGCUCGAGGAGACCAUACGGAGAGAGUAUCCGCAUUUAUUUGAGUCGACGAGUUAAGGUAUGUGUAAUUUCGCAGACGAAAUUAUUUUAAGGGGUGGAGAAUGUAAUAUACCGAAAAUUUCAGGAAAUAAAUAUCGAACUUUAGUCAAAUUGACCAAAGUGGGAGGAUGGUACACUUCGGAAAGUCCGAAGGUGUUAAAAUGAUCAAAAGUGCGUUAUGGGAGGUUUUCGAGAGCCAAAGAAUCAAAAAUCUGCAUUCUGCAGGUUUUGUGCUCUCGGGGACCGGUCCCUGGUGGGAGAGACCGGUCUCCGAACGCGUGAGAAAUGAGAAAAGCUGAAAAUCUGCUAAGUCCGAGAAAACCAG